rnacentral:rRNA from 1 species
AUACGGAGGAUGCAAGCGUUAUCCGGAUUUAUUGGGUUUAAAGGGUUCGUAGGCGGAAAAUUAAGUCAGUGGUGAAAGCCUGCAGCUCAACUGCAGAACUGCCAUUGAUACUGAUUUUCUUGAAUUUAUAUGAAGUGGGCGGAAUGCGUCAUGUAGCGGUGAAAUGCACAGAUAUGACGCAGAACACCAAUUGCGAAGGCAGCUCACUAAUGUAAUCUUGACGCUGAGGAACGAAAGCAUGGGGAGCGAACAGGAUUAGAAACCCUAGUAGUCC